UACGUAGGUGGCAAGCGUUGUCCGGAAUUAUGGGGCGGAAAGCGCGCGCAGGCGGCCUGUUAAGUCGGAUGGGAAAGCCCCCGGCGCAACCGGGGAGGGGCAUUGGAAACUGGGAGGCUUGAGUAUAGGAGAGAAGAGUGGAAUUCCACGUGUAGCGGUGAAAUGCGUAGAGAUGUGGAGGAACACCAGUGGCGAAGGCGACUCUUUGGCCUAUAACUGACGCUGAGGCGCGAAGGCGUGGGGAGCAAACAGG
rnacentral:misc_RNA from 1 species